AUGUUCAGUACCUGCAGAGGCAGCGCAGGUGUUGAAGGUGGCAGCUCGCUCAGGUCUCCAGUCAGGUGGUUGAAGCUGACGUCAAGGACAACGAUGCUGCUUGACGACACCAACUCCAGCGGCAAGCCACCGGACAGCGAGUUGCGCGACAGGUUGAGGUGGAGGAGGCUGGUGAGGUUGCCCAGGGACGGCGAGAUGGACCCCUCGAGGCCUCGAGAAGCCAGCGAAACAUCGGUGACCGCCCCAUUGGGGCCGCCGCAGGUGAUCCCUUCCCACGAGCAGCAGUCCCUAUCCCUCCGCCAUGUCGCCGCGAGGCCCCCGUCCCGCGAGAGCCCAGCGAGGAGCCGGAGGAGGGAGCUCCUCUCCUGCGCCGUGCAGGAGCUGGACGGAGAGGCCAAGGAGACGAGCAGCAGCAAGAGCGCCAAGCCGACGAAGGCCCUUUAG
rnacentral:rRNA from 1 species